CUGGUGGCUACUUCUACACGUCUAUUGUCGCAACACCAUAUAUCUUGAUCAGAAACAGUUUAGCAUAUAUGCUUAUUUCUAAAAUGUUUCUCUUGACUCUUUACAUUUACAAAGGCAAUUAUUGUCUGUUAAUCAUGUCCAUGAGAUGUUGUCAAACAAACUAUUUCAAAUUCAGCUAAGGAAGUCAUCUUGGAGCAGCACAAAUAACACACAUACAACUUUGUCCAUUCUUUCCUACGUGGAAAUGGAACAGACUCUUCCGCCAGCACUUGACAGGAAUUCCAAUAAGAUCAGGCCUUUGGGAGGUUCUUCAAGUGUGAAGCCGAAAUUUGAACCACCCACACCAACAAAGAAGGUGUAAAAGGAAGUCCCUUACUUUCUUUUGUGACUUUUGCUUAAUGAAGAAGAUAAGUUUUUGGAUCCUCAGUCGAUACAAGUUCGCUCAAUAGGGAAAAUGAAAUGAAUUGGUUAUUUAGCUUUUUAGGAUGCCUUCAUUAUUUAGCUUUUCAGGAACCACAACAGCUCCCUAUGCUAUGAUUUUUGAAUGCAGAAGAUUAGCUGCUAAGAAGCGAACUCCAACGUCCUUUACAUAGUCAUCUUAUAUGUCAAAAUUGAAACAUCUGCUAUAUUUUUUGGGUGUAUAACAUUAGUUAGUAUUUGUAGGUCGUUCAAGUAGACACCAUACUGGUGUAUGUUGUACAUAUUCUGAAUAUUUCUAAUAGUAUAUGAUAUUAAUCAUCUUUUC